GUGCGCGUAGCUCAGUUGGAAGAGCAACAGCCUUCUAAGCUGUAGGUCACAGGUUCAAGUCCUGUCGCGCACA
rnacentral:tRNA from 1 species